rnacentral:rRNA from 1 species
UACGUAGGGUGCGAGCGUUGUCCGGAAUUACUGGGCGUAAAGAGCUCGUAGGUGGUUUGUCGCGUUGUCCGUGAAAACUCACAACUCAAUUGUGGGCGUGCGGGCGAUACGGGCAGACUGGAGUACUGCAGGGGAGACUGGAAUUCCUGGUGUAGCGGUGGAAUGCGCAGAUAUCAGGAGGAACACCGGUGGCGAAGGCGGGUCUCUGGGCAGUAACUGACGCUGAGGAGCGAAAUCGUGGGGAGCGAACAGG